CUGAGCCAUAUCAUUGGACUAAAAUCUCAGAGACUUGGAUUUGGGCUCUUGAUCCACCUAGCAACCUAGCAGAACACCUUAGCAACAACACAGCAACUAUCCUAGCAUUGUGGUGAAACAUACUGGCUGUUACACCGGCGCUUUAGAGGACUGAGGGACCCACACCUGGUCGAAGAGAGCAGGGGGAAGGCAAGCGAGAGAGGAGGGCAGCUUUAAAGCUUUUACCACUGUGCAAACAGUAGGCUGAUUGCUUUUAAUGGGAUCAACUAAAGGCCUCUGCGAGAGUCAGUCCUGCCUUGGCCAACACUGAGAUGUCAGGAUAUACACCUGACUGCAUCCUGGACGGGCAACAGGUUCCUGACUCUCCCAUAACUGCCUGAGGCCAGAUAUACCGGUCUGUGCUCCCUCUACACUAUAGUCACAGACAAGGACAAUUGCACUGUUAAUUUCUAUGCGUUGUUUGGACAAUAACUGAGUGUUUCUAAAAGAGCAUUAAUAGGCCUAAAUAGAUUUGUGUCUCCGUAGGGUCGACAGUUUCGUCUGUCACUCUUAUAAUGAAGUGUUGUAUAAGGAGUUGCCUACCUUCAGAGAU